rnacentral:tRNA from 1 species
GCGCCCUUAGCUCAGCGGAUAGAGCAUCGGCCUUCUAAGCCGAGGGUCGUAGGUUCGAGUCCUACAGGGCGUGCCA